AGAUGUACAGCCAAUCGCGACGUGAGUAAUCGAAUGUGUAUGUGACGUUGAAUUUGGCGGGAUUGUUAAAUUGUUGUCAACCUCUUUGACACAUACGUAUUAUUCUAUGAUUUAUUUAUUUUAAUUGUAUGAUAUGCUUCGAAUGUAAUAGAAAAUUCACGGUCAAAAAGCGAAGAAAUCAAAUGUAAAAUAAUAAAGAACGGUGCAUGGCGGUGAUCUGGAAAUAACAAAACAGCUGCGUUAUAUAAAAUAUUGCAUCGUAUAUUUAACAACCAGUGGUAACAAAGGUAGGUUCUCUUUUUCUUUUACGUACUUACAGCAACAGAACAAUAUUCUCGCAAGAUACAAGCUCUUCAGCCUGUAUAUAACUUUCUACAUAUAAUUUAUUUAGAUUCUUAUUUGUCACCUACAAACUUCGAAGGAGCAUCCUAACAUAACAAGUAAUAUAUCACUAGAAAAAAUCGAUUUGUUCUGUUUCAAACAACUUAUAUAACUUAUGAAAUGUAAUGACUUUUAUGUAUAUGAAUCUACAUAGAAAUAUAUAUGUAUAUAUAUCCUUUUUUUUAAAGAAUAUGAUUCUCUAUAGCACGCGAAAUGCUUUCUCUGAAAUAUAUAGAUAUAAUCUGUUACAUCUGCGCACUUUUCUUGUCUUAAAUAUUUUUACAUAAUAACUACUAAAUGAUAAAAAAUUUUCGAUAAUAUCUCUCACCUAUAUAUACAUAAUUUCUCGCCGCUACAUAUCAUACUUUUUUUGUUUUUGGUCUUAUAAAGAGCAGUGUUGCUUCAGUCAUCUUUGGUAGAAGCAUGUGUGCAUGCUAUUUUUCACAUAACAUUAUUUCAAUACAAGAUAACAUAAGACCU